AAAGAAAGACACGUGUCCUUGCUUGUGUGGGUAACAUUGAGAUAUUUUUUCUUAGCUUAAAAAAUACUAAAAAUUAAGUGUUAAUAAUUUAAAAUAAAAUAAAAAGUACAAAAAUAAAACCGAAAUAAAAACGUAGAAAAUUCUAUUUAAUUCCAACAAUUAUUUUGGUUAAAAAAUAAAAAUAAAAAUAAUCGAAUAAAAAAUGAAUAAAAAUCGGGCGAAAAAAAUAAUUUCCCGAAAAAAACUGAACGUGCAAAAAU
rnacentral:lncRNA from 1 species